UACGUAGGGUGCAAGCGUUGUCCGGAAUUAUUGGGCGUAAAGAGCGUGUAGGCGGCUUGGUAGGUCCGCUGUGAAAACUCGAGGCUCAACCUCGAGAUGUCGGCGGAAACCACUUGGCUAGAGUCCGGAAGAGGAGAGUGGAAUUCCUGGUGUAGCGGUGAAAUGCGCAGAUAUCAGGAAGAACACCUAUGGCGAAGGCAGCUCUCUGGGACGGUACUGACGCUGAGACGCGAAAGCGUGGGAGCGAACAGG
rnacentral:rRNA from 1 species